rnacentral:rRNA from 1 species
AUACGUAGGGGGCAAGCGUUAUCCGGAUUUACUGGGUGUAAAGGGAGCGUAGACGGCACUGCAAGUCUGGAGUGAAAGGCUACGGCUUAACCGUAGUAAGCCUUGGAAACUUAUUGGCUUGAGUGCAGGAGAGGUAAGUGGAAUUCCUAGUGUAGCGGUGAAAUGCGUAGAUAUUAGGAGGAACACCAGUGGCGAAGGCGACUUACUGGACUGUAACUGACGCUGAGGCACGAAAGCGUGGGGAGCGAACAGGAUUAGAUACCCUGGUAGUCCACGCCGUAAACGAUGAGUGCUAGGUGUCGGGGGCGACAGCCCUCGGUGCCGCAGCUAACGCAUUAAGCACUCCGCCUGGGGAGUACGACCGCAAGGUUGAA